AGAGAGGACCCAUUCUGGCUUAUGUGUCCCAUGGGGUGAAGGUGUUGGGAGCCCAAGGGCGGGAUAGUGCCCCUUGGUCAGCCUCGGACAGGCCUGGCUGAGUGAGGGGCUGGCAGGGACCUGGAAUUCAAUACUUUAGCCCGUAGGCCUGGGAAGGGCAAGAUGAAACCCAACUACACAAAGUGAAACUGGAAACACCAGGCAGAGGGGCCACGUGGGUAUUUCUGGGGACACAGCGGGUGACCAAGAGCGCAUGGAAGGAGGCUGGACGUCAUGAGCAUCAGGGAAAAGCAAAUGGGGGCCAGGAUGUGAGAGCAUGGCACGUUCAGGGGGCAGCUGACGAGAAAGACAGACACUAACAAGUGUCGUUACCAGGACACACUCCUGACACCCAUAACUGCGGGGUUAUCUGGCUCUUCAGUUCAGCUUUGGUGAUUCCAAGGCAGACACAGCCCAGGGCAGGGUCUGGAACAGAGCACAGCUGUGGGCUCUGGUGAGCACGGAGCAGAGAGCCAGACGGGGCGGGACACAGACCCAGUCUACUACCCAGGCCAGCCAGGGCACCCACGACCCCAGCUCUUCCCAGAAGCCCAGCCACUGAGUGUAAUAGCAGAGCUGCCCAUCUCACACAGUUAGCAUCUUCGAAGUGCCCCUGAGGAGCUGUGCAUAGCCACCGACCUGAAGCUAUUCAGACGGAGAAACACAGCGAAUGUCAUUCUGCAGACCCAACAUGGGGAUGCCUAGCUGCUUCAACUCUGAGGCAGAAAACAGCAUCUUUGGAGGCCCUCUGGACAGCCUGCCCCACAGGGCAGGGGUGAGGUCAUCAUGAAGACUCUGGACAGGAGAAAAUGACCCCAUUCCCAGGGAAGACAGCAGCUCAUGCGGAACCUGGGGGUCUGAGCCUGAUACAGUUGCCUUGUGGGGAGACCUGGCUGGAAGUGCUGUGUACUCACAUUUGUAACUCCUGUAAUUCAUCAUCAUCAUCAUCAUCAUCAUCAUCAAUCUGUCCUCUCGGAAAGU